AGUGAACGCUGGCGGUAGGCCUAACACAUGCAAGUCGAACGGCAGCACAGAGGAGCUUGCUCCUUGGGUGGCGAGUGGCGGACGGGUGAGGAAUACAUCGGAAUCUACUCUGUCGUGGGGGAUAACGUAGGGAAACUUACGCUAAUACCGCAUACGACCUACGGGUGAAAGCAGGGGAUCUUCGGACCUUGCGCGAUUGAAUGAGCCGAUGUCGGAUUAGCUAGUUGGCGGGGUAAAGGCCCACCAAGGCGACGAUCCGUAGCUGGUCUGAGAGGAUGAUAAGCCACACUGGAACUGAGACAGCGGCCAGACUCCUACGGGAGGCAGCAGUGGGGAAUAUUGGACAAUGGGCGCAAGCCUGAUCCAGCCAUACCGCGUGGGUGAAGAAGGCCUUCGGGUUGUAAAGCCCUUUUGUUGGGAAAGAAAUCCAUCUGGUUAAUACCCGGGUGGGAUGACGGUACCCAAAGAAUAAGCACCGGCUAACUUCGUGCCAGCAGCCGCCGUAA
rnacentral:rRNA from 1 species